rnacentral:tRNA from 1 species
GCCGAAAUAGCUCAGUUGGGAGAGUGUUAGACGGGAGAUUUAAAGGAACUCGGUUCAAUCCCGGGUUUCGGCA